rnacentral:sRNA from 1 species
GCGGACAGGACGUCCGCCGGAACAAAUCCGGUGCGAGUUUUGUGCAAACAAAACUCGGAGUAAGAAUUGUACAGGACGUACAAUUCUUACUCACC